CUUGUACACAGUGUUACCUUUGCCCUGAUGUCUUCUUUUUGUGCCACUUCCCACCCAUUCUGAGUGUCUUCAAUCAAAUUUCAUGCCUUCCCUUGGUGAAGGCAAGACACACCUUUAAAAAGACCUAUUGCAUUUAACAACACCAUCUGGUUUGGCUACUCCAAGUCAGAAAUCAACUACAAAGUACUGGGACCCUCUUUCCAAGCCAGGGAGUUGUAGUGAACAUGGAGAGACGGGAUCACCAUGAUCACCCAGCCAGUGAAUGUCAGCGAGUCAUCACAAUCCAGUGGCAAGACAGAGUCAAGAUGAC